rnacentral:rRNA from 1 species
CGUCUAUAUACGUAUAGCAUAUCAAUAAGCGGAGGAAAAGAAACUAACAAGGAUUCCCUUAGUAACGGCGAGUGAAGCGGGAAGAGCUCAAAUUUGAAAUCUUCAAGGUUCUACCUUGACGAAUUGUAGUUUAAAGAAGUGUUUUCUGUUAGAGGAGUAGCAAAAGUUCCUUGGGAUAGGGACAUCAUAGAGGGUGAGAAUCCCGUAUUUGACCAUUAUUUUCUAGCUGUGUGAUACACUUUCAAAGAGUCGGAUUGUUUGGGAAUGCAGUCCAAAAUGGGUGGUAAAUUUCAUCUAAAGCUAAAUAUUGGCGAGAGACCGAUAGCGAACAAGUACCGUGAGGGAAAGAUGAAAAGAACUUUGAAAAGAGAGUUAAACAGUACGUGAAAUUGUCAAAAGGGAAGCGUUUGACACCAGUGUUGUUUUUCCGAAAAUCAAUUAAGAGUGGCUUGAUUUUGUGUUGUAUUGACCUUAUCAGCUUUCUUCACUCUUUUUCGAGUCUUUCUUAAUGCACUUUUCGGUUAACAAGUCAACAUCAAUUUCUUUUGUUGUAAAAGGGUAUUUGGAAGGUGGCUUUCUUUUCGGAGAAAGUGUUUAUAGCCUUAUACCUCUACAAUCGGAGAGAUUGAGGUCUGCAGCGUAGAUCCUUCGGGGCUAGAUACACUUGUGCUAAGUUAUAGCUUUUCAUAGACAACUUGUUGACUAUGUUUAGUCAUGUAGCUUACCCGCUUGUGCUAUUUUACCUACGCUUAGGAUGUUGAGUCAUCACACAUCUCU